UAGCUUAAGAAAGUGUUUGAGUGCAAAUCAAAUGGCGGGCCUGAGAUGGUCCUUAAGCUU
rnacentral:tRNA from 1 species